GACGAACGCUGGCGGCGUGCUUAACACAUGCAAGUCGAACGGAAAGGCCCUGCUUUUGUGGGGUGCUCGAGUGGCGAACGGGUGAGUAACACGUGAGUAACCUGCCCUUGACUUUGGGAUAACUUCAGGAAACUGGGGCUAAUACCGGAUAGGAGCUCCUGCUGCAUGGUGGGGGUUGGAAAGUUUCGGCGGUUGGGGAUGGACUCGCGGCUUAUCAGCUUGUUGGUGGGGGAGUGGCUUACCAAGGCUUUGACGGGUAGCCGGCCUGAGAGGGUGACCGGCCACAUUGGGACUGAGGUACGGCCUAGACUCCUACGGGAGGCAGCAGUGGGGAAUAUUGCACAAUGGGCGGAAGCCAGAUGCAGCAACGCCGCGUGCGGGAUGACGGCCUUCGGGUUGUAAACCGCUUUCGCCUGUGACGAAGCGUGAGUGACGGUAAUGGGUAAAGAAGCACCGGCUAACUACGUG
rnacentral:rRNA from 1 species